rnacentral:lncRNA from 1 species
UUAAUAUCGUAUUUCAGGUGGUGGCGGGGAAAUUGGAAACGUUUAUCAGCCAAUCUAGCUUGUAGCUCAUACCUUGUGAGUGGAUAAAACUUAUUUUUUAGAAAAAAGUCUUCUUUAAAUUUUAAAGUUAUUUAUUUUAUAAAGUUGACUUCAUAGCAUGAUUUUCAGAAUAAAAUGGAUUUUAUUAUCAAUUGCUUUUAAAGUUAAAUUCAGUUCAAUUAAAUUAUUUUGAAAGCAUGUUAUAUUCUUCUUACGUGUUUCAGUAUAGUUGAAGUUAUUCCUAAAAACCACCAGAAAGUACCCAGGUGAUUUUACCCCAGUUUGCGCUGAUGUGAAUGUGUUUCCACAGUAUAUGACUAGUUAUAGUGAUUUUACCCGCUCUGCACUAUCGUGAAUGUGUUUCCAUAGUAUAUGACCAGAUGAUCAGAGGUCUUUGGGACCCACUCUUGUACACACAUAGGCUUUGGGCCGUGUACUAGAGUGAUUAGCCUUUGGGGCAGCUCUGCAUACGUAUGACCAGAUUAUCAGAUUUGAAUGGCUUUGCCUUGUACAUCAAGAUUACUAUGUACAUGAAUAAGGCUAUUCAUUGGGUACUCUUUUUGGUGUGAUUUUUCAGUAUUUAUUCAGUUCUCAGAUUUCAGAUUAUGGAAGUCAGUUAAUUCAGUUUUCAGAAGAAAGCUUUUAGCUUAUACUAUUGAGCAGCAGCAAUAUUUCACAGAUUUUCAUGAAUAUCAAAUUCUUUAUAUUUGUUAUAUCUCACAGAUACUUAUCUAGUAUUUAGAAUAAAGAAUUUUAUAAUGUAAUCAUGUCUAGUUUUUGAAAGUAUUACUAGAUUCAGAAUUUCUUAAGGAUUUAAUAAAAUUGGAAUUUUUAGAAAAUAUGCAUAAAUGCAAAAAGGUUUACUUAUUUGGAAAUCAUCCACUCAUUGAGUUAUAAACUCAUAUAUUUUUAUCAUGCUUUUCUAUCAGGAGACCGUCGAUUUUGAGAUACUGGGAAAAGCCCGCUGAAGCGAAAGAGACCGUUUCAUAGUAUGUAAUGUAUAGUUGGGGAACUCAUGUCAAUUAAGUGCUUGUCUAAUAUUUGGUGUGUCAUGCACUUCGUAGAAAGGUUGGUAAUUGAUGUAAUGCUUGCAUGUUGACAUGAUGAUGUUGUAGAAGCACUCAGUCGAAUUUUGUUAUAUUUUGUUGUAGUUGUGGUGGUAUUAGAGGAAGUGGUGGUUUCCAAAACUUUUGGUUUAAAU